UGAGCCGAACUGGAACGUUGUUGC
rnacentral:piRNA from 1 species